rnacentral:rRNA from 1 species
AACGAACGCUGGCGGCAUGCCUAACACAUGCAAGUCGAACGAAGGCUUCGGCCUUAGUGGCGCACGGGUGCGUAACGCGUGGGAAUCUGCCCUUUGGUUCGGAGUAACAGCUGGAAACGGCUGCUAAUACCGGAUGAUGACGAAAGUCCAAAGAUUUAUCGCCAGAGGAUGAGCCCGCGUUGGCUUAGGUAGUUGGUGGGGUAAAGGCCUACCAAGCCGACGAUCCAUAGCUGGUCUGAGAGGAUGAUCAGCCACACUGGGACUGAGACACGGCCCAGACUCCUACGGGAGGCAGCAGUGGGGAAUAUUGGACGCUGGGCGCAAGCCUGAUCCAGCAAUGCCGCGUGAGUGAUGAAGGCCCUAGGGUUGUAAAGCUCUUUUACCCGGGAAGAUAAUGACUGUACCGGGAGAAUAAGCCCCGGCUAACUACGUG